rnacentral:rRNA from 2 species
GGAGCCAGCCGCCUAAGGUGGGACAGAUGAUUGGGGUGAAGUCGUAACAAGGUAGCCGUAUCGGAAGGUGCGGCUGGAUCACCUCCUUU